rnacentral:antisense_RNA from 2 species
AGCUGUGGCGGCCGUGUGCAGGACGCCUUCGGGCGAGCUGAGUUGAUUGUUCUCGGUUGACCAAGCCUGUACACGGUCCGCCUCCCAU